CCUUCCUAGUACCUGCUUUGCCCCAUUGUGGCUCCCAAUAAUCUGACAUGUGUCCGUGGCUUAAUGAAUAAAAGGUGUAGUUUAAAUGCAUAGGCGAAAGGACGACAAAAAUCCAAAUCUUCUCUCUCUCUUUUUCUUCAUAGAAUCUGACAAAUGACAUGCCGUCACGCGGCUGUUCCCUAAAUGACAAAAUACGUGUCAUACUCCAAGGUAGUGGAUGUAGUUUGAUUGAGAUAGUUAGGGUAGUUUGGUCAAUGCACUUACCUGGCGAGAGAAGAGUGAUAAUAUUUUGUCGCCACGUGCCAUGGCGUCGGCCGCACGCAAGAAAAGCUAGAGUUACAGCAUAUUUUGAAACGUAUAGGGUGUAUACGAAUACCACUCCAUAUUGAAUAGAAUAUAUUAGUGGUGUUCAUCGAACAGAUUGAGCGUCUUUUUACUCUUAAUGAUUUGGCUUAACGGUUAUCGACUUUUAAAUGUAUUCAUUCGUUAGCUACCCGAUAAGAUAUCGGGCGGAUUGGUAUCGGGUUAGCUCUUAUCGGGCGGUUACCGGGCGG
rnacentral:lncRNA from 1 species